rnacentral:RNase_MRP_RNA from 1 species
UGCAGCGAACACACUAGGAGCUUGCUCCGUCCUCUGCUGCUUGGAAAGUCCCCGUGCCUUUGGGUAGAGAGUGCCAGCGGCAGACCGCCAGGCAUCCGUUCCCGUGCAGGCAGUGACUUGCGGUGGAGCUGCAACGUCGGGACUGUUGCGCCAUGGGUGUUCAUUUCAGGGUCACAAACAGAACGGGGGUUUACUCUCAUCAUGCCCUCUACCCCGAGUUCCAUGGAUUGCGGUACUUCCGGGAAACCAGCAGCAGCAGAAAGGCAGCAGCCGUGCACCGAACGCGCUCAUGCAUUUGCGCCAUUUGCCCUGUAUCAAAAACUGCACAGAUGUUGCAGUAGCAUGCAGUUCUUUUGGCAUGAGCUAUUGGAAAUGGCGGAAACCAGUGCCGCUAAAAAAAAAAAACUUGCGGUGGAGCUGCAACGCAGGGACUGUUGCCUAUCGCAGCAGCACAGUUAUGCCAUGGGUGACCAUUUCCAGGUCACAAACAGAACGGGGCUUACUCUCC